GACGAACGCUGGCGGCGUGCUUAACACAUGCAAGUCGAACGGAAAGGCCCUGCUUUUGUGGGGUGCUCGAGUGGUGAACGGGUGAGUAACACGUGAGUAACCUGCCCUUGACUUUGGGAUAACUUCAGGAAACUGGGGCUAAUACCGGAUAGGGGCUCCUGCUGCAUGGUGGGGGUUGGAAAGUUUCGGCGGUUGGGGAUGGACUCGCGGCUUAUCAGCUUGUUGGUGGGGUAGUGGCUUACCAAGGCUUUGACGGGUAGCCGGCCUGAGAGGGUGACCGGCCACAUUGGGACUGAGAUACGGCCCAGACUCCUACGGGAGGCAGCAGUGGGGAAUAUUGCACAAUGGGCGGAAGCCUGAUGCAGCAACGCCGCGUGCGGGAUGACGGCCUUCGGGUUGUAAACCGCUUUCGCCUGUGACGAAGCGUGAGUGACGGUAAUGGGUAAAGAAGCACCGGCUAACUACGUG
rnacentral:rRNA from 1 species